rnacentral:lncRNA from 10 species
GAUGAUGCAACUCAGGCUGCUGAACCCAAUGAGCAGGUGCUACAAAUGCAGAUCAGUUUCAGGUUACCAAGCUAGCCCUGCCUGCAAGUGUUAUUGCCCAGGAAGAACCACAGCUGUAAGCAGCUCUCCUCCAGCUCUUAGGGAGGAGAGAACAAUUCUAGUGCCUACUGCUGAAGCAUUUUCCACUGUCCUGGUUGUAGAGGCCCCUAGCCCACUCCAGAGCAGAUGCUCAAAUCUCUGAGCCAAGACUAAAGUGCCUGUGCAAGUAAGCAACUGGGUUGCCAAGGCUGUAGGCACCCACAUUAAAAAUCAUGUCCUGCCUGCAGACCCAGGUCUGGAAAAAUGUCUGUAGCUUUUCCCAGAGUCUUUCCCUCACAGCAUCUCCAAGACUCUUCCUAAGUUUUUUCCAGGGCUUGGGAGAAACAAAAUGCUCUCCCUCAGCCUGGGUUGCUCAUAUCCCCAGUGGAAAGGUACGUCACAGAAAGAGGCUGUCUGUUUCUCUUACAUACUGAGCCUUCAAUCAUUUUAUCAACUGGACACCAUCACAGGGGCUGUUUGCCAGCAUUCUCCUCUCCGGCAUCUGGGGUGUCCUUUACAAUUCCAGUGGGUUCCCAUUUUUCUUGAAUUAAAGCUCACAGUGUUGAUCUUUAUGUGCUAUCUUGCUAUCUCGCUAUCUCCAAGAGGCAGAGGCAUGCUGAAAGCCUCUAGUUUGCCAUCUUGGAGAAAGAAUAAAAACAGAGUUUGUUUCUUUACAUAAUUAAAACCAAAUCAUAGCAAGAUUGGACGUGAAAGUGUAAGAGAAGAAA